AAAAAAUAUAUUCUCCCAUCACACUAAUUAUGUUUCUGAAAUGAAUGUGUGAAACAACUGUGAUCUUUAGUCAAUGCAAUUCUUAUCUUUUAAGUUUCAAGAAUUUCUGUAAAGCUUAGUAUUUGUGAAAAUAAUUCAAGUGUUUUUUUUUUUUGUGCAAAAAAUUAUUUUUUAUUUAAUUUUUUUUAUUUGGUUUUCACCUGAUAAAAUCGUUUGACAGCACCAGGCUACCAGCUACAUGCCAGGAGGCCCAGUUCAAAAUCUGUGGCGUGUGAGUUGUUUGAUAAAAGGCCUAUUUGACUUAACUGUAUUUAAUACAGAGAGGGAGAAGGGUCGGCGACAACAGAGAUAGAAGAGUGAGAUGUAAUUUUGAGACAAGUUCUCGUGUCCGCGGUCAUUAAGAAUGACGCUUCCCAACGUAACAUAUGGCUGCAAUUGGCUGUGGUUUUGGUGGGAAACACAAAACAACCAUAGCAACUGGACACCUCCUGCCUGGAACCCACCAUGCAAAUAAUCGACACAGAACAGACAUUUGCUCCCCCAAAACAAGAAGAUAAUCUUGCUUGCAACCGAAUAUAUACAUCGCUUUAACAUAAGAGGCAAUGUAUUUCAUUGACACGCCAUUUUCUCUCCACAUGGUAGGCAAGUUGAGACCAUGAUUGCUUACUGUAACAUUCAUUACGUGAUUUACAACAAGCACAUAUGGGCAAAAAUAUGUAGACGCAGGCCUUUAGCCUAUCGAAUUUUUCCGCAUUUUUUCUAUUUAUCCUUAUAGUUUA